rnacentral:misc_RNA from 1 species
UUUGCUUGAUUUUUGUUUUCACUCAGACUACAUGGUUGAUUCAAGAAUUGAAAUGGGCUUUCGGCAGGCACUCACCCCCCCGGGGGACCCCCCGGGCGGCAUGAGCACGACCCCAAGGCCUGCCAAAGCAACGAAUGUGGUAAGGUAAACACGGGGUGAAGAGGAGGGGCCGAAGCCCCCGGGAACGCGAACGUCCCUCUCUUUAAUGAUCCUUCCGCAGGUUCACCUACGGAAA